GAUGAACGCUAGCGGCAGGCUUAAUACAUGCAAGUCGAGGGGCAGCAUGAGUGUAGCAAUACAUUUGAUGGCGACCGGCAAACGGGUGCGGAACACGUACACAACCUUCCUAUAAGUGGGGAAUAGCCCAGAGAAAUUUGGAUUAAUACCCCGUAACAUAAUGAUGUGGCAUCACAUUAUUAUUAUAGCUUCGGCGCUUAUUGAUGGGUGUGCGGCUGAUUAGAUAGUUGGCGGGGUAACGGCCCACCAAGUCUACGAUCAGUAGCUGAUGUGAGAGCAUGAUCAGCCACACGGGCACUGAGACACGGGCCCGACUCCUACGGGAGGCAGCAGUAAGGAAUAUUGGUCAAUGGACGCAAGUCUGAACCAGCCAUGCCGCGUGAAGGAUUAAGGUCCUCUGGAUUGUAAACUUCUUUUAUCUGGGACGAAAAAAGGCUAUUCUUAGUCACUUGACGGUACCAGAUGAAUAAGCACCGGCUAACUCCGUGCCAGCAGCCGCCGUAAUAC
rnacentral:rRNA from 1 species